rnacentral:rRNA from 1 species
GAUGAAUGCUGGCGGCGUGCCUAACACAUGCAAGUCGAGCGGCAGCGAGUUUUACACUGAAUUCUGGAAGCUUCUGAGUAGUACAGAAGAUUUAUUCAAGAGUUUUGUGUAAAAUGUCGGCGAGCGGCGGACGGCUGAGUAACGCGUAGGAAUUUGCCCCAAAGUGAGGAAUAACUGCCCGAAAGGGUAGCUAAUGCCGCAUAUGGUCUUCGGAUUAAAGCCUUCGGGCGCUUUGGGAGAAGCCUGCGUUGGAUUAGGUAGUUGGUAGGGUAAUGGCCUACCAAGCCGACGAUCCAUAGCUGGUCGGAGAGGAUGAUCAGACAGACUGGAACUGAGACACGGUCCAGACUCCUACGGGAGGCAGCAGUGAGGAAUCUUCCACAAUGGGCGAAAGCCUGAUGGAGCAACGCCGCGUGAAGGAUGAAGGCCUUCGGGUUGUAAACUUCUUUUAUGAGUGAAGAAUAUGACGGUAACUCAUGAAUAAGCACCGGCUAACUACGUG